rnacentral:rRNA from 1 species
CGUAGGGCGCAAGCGUUAUCCGGAAUUAUUGGGCGUAAAGAGCUCGUAGGCGGUUUGUCGCGUCUGCCGUGAAAGUCCGGGGCUCAACUCCGGAUCUGCGGUGGGUACGGGCAGACUAGAGUGAUGUAGGGGAGACUGGAAUUCCUGGUGUAGCGGUGAAAUGCGCAGAUAUCGGGAGGAACACCGAUGGCGAAGGCAGGUCUCUGGGCAUUAACUGACGCUGAGGAGCGAAAGCAUGGGGAGCGAACAGGAUUAGAUACCCUGGUAGUCCAUGCUGUAAACGUUGGGCACUAGGUGUGGGGGACAUUCCACGUUUUCCGCGCCGUAGCUAACGCAUUAAGUGCCCCGCCUGGGGAGUACGGCCGCAAGGCUA